rnacentral:lncRNA from 1 species
CUUGAUUUCUGUGGAGUCAUUUCUUCCCUUAGCAAGUGGUGGUUCUGGAAUUUCUGCUGCUUCAGCCUGUCGGGUGGGCCUAGAAAGGAUGCAAGGACCUGGAGCAUGGUGCAUCUGGUCACAUCCCUGCUCAGACUCCAGAUAUUUCGCUCAGCUGAGGGGAUAUGCCCGAGCAUGGUCUUAGCUCUGCCUCUGAGCUAUCUGAAAAUACCACCAGUGGCAGCACAUAGCCACCUUGCCAUCUGCCUUCCCCGCCUCCUGGUGACAUCUCUCCAUCACUGCCAUCAUUCCACUGGACUUAACCUUUAUAGCAAAAACACAGGAGUCCUGCUGGGGAUUUAGUUCUUGCUGUUCAUGGCUGUAUCAGUUGAAUCGGAAGCUUCCAAGUGGCCCUUCAUGCAGGAAGAUGUUUAUUCCCCACAGCAUACCAGCACCAAAUCCCAGGCCCUCAAUCUGUUUAGAAACCUGUAUCCCUACUUACCCAAAUAAAGAGGUCAGACCAGAUGUGGGAAGGAAAGUAAGACAGUUGUAAU